rnacentral:rRNA from 1 species
AGCAGCCGCGGUAAUUCCAGCUCCAAUAGCGUAUAUUAAAGUUGUUGACAGUUAAAAAGCUUGUAGUUGAAUUUCGAGAUCAAAUUGUUGGUCGUGCCUCGGUACGUACUGGCAUUAUUGAUUUCUCCCUUCUGAAGAACCACGAUGUCAUUAAUUUGGUGUCGUGGGGAAUUCAGGACUGUUACUUUGAAAAAAUUAGAGUGUUUAAAGCAGGCUCACGCUUGAAUACAUUAGCAUGGAAUAAUGAAAUAGGACGUUUGAUUCUAUUUUGUUGGUUUCUAGGAUCGACGUAAUGAUUAAUAGGGAUAGUUGGGGGCAUUAGUAUUCAAUUGUCAGAGGUGAAAUUCUUGGAUUUAUUGAAGACUAACUACUGCGAAAGCAUUUGCCAAGGUAUGUUUUUCAUUAAUCAAGAACGGAAAGUUAGGGGGAUCGAAGACGAUCAGAUACCGUCGUAGUCUUAACCAUAAACUAUGCCGACUAGGAGUCGGAUGAUGUUAAUUUUUUAAUGUACUCAUUCGGC